rnacentral:tRNA from 2 species
CGGCCGUUAGUGCAACGGCAGCGCAUCCGUCUGAUAGGCGGAAGAACCUGGUUCAAUUCCAGGACGGCCGA